GCCCGAGUAGCUCAGAUGGCCAGAGCAGCUGUCUUGUAAACAGCAGGUCAUGGGUUCGAAUCCCAUCUCGGGCU
rnacentral:tRNA from 1 species